GUAUAGGCAAAGGACAUGCAAACACUAUGCCUCUGAAAUUCCAUACUAACAUGCUAUUUAGUAGGCUAAAACAGUACGUGAAAUUUUUUAGCAUGUCCGAAACCUUAGAAUGAAACAAAUAGUACGCAAAUUGCACACUAUUUCAAGUGAAAUAUUACAGUAUGCAAACGGUGGACACUACGGCGGCAUAAAUAUCCCACAAUGCAAUGCGGUAGUGACGACGGACAGCUCUGCAACAUCAGUAACGCUUAAAUUUAAGUAUAAGUAUAAGAUUUCACUUUACUACAAAGAGUGUCCUGAGCAUAUG